rnacentral:lncRNA from 1 species
AAGCACAUGAAAAAAUCUGUUGUAAAUGGUGACCUCCUGGUGGAUGGACGUACAGCCCAGGCGGGACUGAGCUGUGAGAGAGGAGGGGUUCAGACAGCAGUGUUCCCGUGUGCUGCACGCCGACCCAACGCCGGCAGCUCUAAUCAUAAUACUUGGAAGCGAGAGCAAGAAGGAGAGGACUUGGCACUCACAGAGUUUGGAGCUCUCCAAGAUCUUUACAAACACAACACAGUUAACCCUUGAAAGAGAGAGAAACCCUACUCGUCUGCAUGGAGAGGAGCUUGUGCUGCACACAAAAGGCACUGGCACUCCAAAAAGCAGAAUGGGGCUGCUUGCUGCUCACCUGUUUGGCAUCGGCGCUGCACAGGUCUCAGCUGGAUGAUGGCCACCCAGGGCCUGGUGUGCGUGGCAUUGGUGGCCGUGCUGUGCG